GGUUGUUUAAAAAUUUUACUAUAAAAUUUGUAUAAUUUGAUUUUCUUUUUGAUAGUGGCUUUUACGAUUGGUUUUGAUUGAUAGUAACUUCUAAAUAUUUAGAAUCUCCUUUGUUAGACAUUGGUGACCUUUGAAAACUUCUUUUGGUUCUUUUAUUUGGUGUUUAGAGCAUAAAUUAUGUAAAUCUUAUACGAAAAAGGAUUGAAGAAGGAUUUUGGUAGCAAAGGGAGUAAUUAGGGCACCAAUAUAGAUGAAUGGAGAUGAAUAAUGAAAAUCUCCAUUCCUAUUGGUCAAAAAUCAUGACCAAUGGGCUUUGAGGAGGCUAUCCGAGGCCAUAUUAGGGAUUAGGGUUAGUUUCUCGAGGCCAUUCGAGUUUUGAAGGCCAGGAUCAGAAGGUUUAGGUUUUUGGCUAUGGUUUUGGUGCAAGUUUUGUAUGGUUUGGAGUUUAUAUGAAGGAGAUACAAGCGCUCAAAGUUAAGGUGUUGAUUUUGGAACUACUGUCAUUCUUUUUGGCAUAACGCACGCGUAUAGAUAGCAAUUGAAAAUCGGCGAUUGCGACUGGAGAGAGCACUUUUGUAGCUACACUUUUCACAUACUUCUUAUUAGAUUCUAAGUUGAAAUGAAGGAGUUAUUGGAUUUUGAA
rnacentral:lncRNA from 1 species